AUUCAGCCUGUUUGGAACAAUUCAGAAGUUAUUGUCAAGGAAAAGAAAAUACUAUUUGUUUCCUUGUACUUUCUGAUAUGGGGUGAAGCAGCCAAUGUCAGAUUCAUUCCAGAAUGCUUGUGCUACAUAUUUCAUCAUAUGGCAAGAGAACUAGAUGAAAUUUUAAGGCAGCAGGUUCCACAGCCAGCCAAUAGUUGCAAGUCUGGGGAUAGUGUUUCAUUCCUUGAUCAAGUUAUAUUUCCUCUCUAUGGUGUUUUGGAAGCAGUAUGUUUAAGUAAAUAUAUUAUUGUCAAAUUGAAAUUAAAAGAAGUAAUUUUUAAUAUCCGACAAGGAUUUUCUUGCUUUAAAUUCUAAUUUAUAUUUUAUAACUCUUACUUAAGAGUUAGAAUUGUGUUUAUCUAACUUGGGUGUUGGUAUUCCUAACUAAGAUUGGGAUUUUGGGUUUAUUACUAGAAAGUGAUGUAAACAUUUUCUUUUUCCUCUUUAUAAUUUAUUUAUUUAUUUUGUUUUAGGAUGAUUCUUUGUUUUAUAAAAUGUUUAUAAUGUUUUUGGUAAGUUCUCAUAUUUAAAAGUGCACAGGAAACAAGAAGUAAUAAAAACAUAAAAGCACCACACUCUGCCUGGCGCAAUUAUGAUAAUUUUAAUGAGCAUUUUUGGUCACUUCAUUGUUCUGAACUUGGCUGGCCAUGGCGCAAAAGCUCACCCUUUUUUCAAAAGCCAGAACUCUCGAAG